rnacentral:rRNA from 1 species
GGGUUGUGAGGUUAAGCGACUAAGCGUACACGGUGGAUGCCCUGGCAGUCAGAGGCGAUGAAGGACGUGCUAAUCUGCGAUAAGCGUCGGUAAGGUGAUAUGAACCGUUAUAACCGGCGAUUUCCGAAUGGGGAAACCCAGUGUGAUUCGUCACACUAUCAUUAACUGAAUCCAUAGGUUAAUGAGGCGAACCGGGGGAACUGAAACAUCUAAGUACCCCGAGGAAAAGAAAUCAACCGAGAUUCCCCCAGUAGCGGCGAGCGAACGGGGAGGAGCCCAGAGCCUGAAUCAGUGUGUGUGUUAGUGGAAGCGUCUGGAAAGGCGCGCGAUACAGGGUGACAGCCCCGUACACAAAAAUGCACAUGCUGUGAGCUCGAUGAGUAGGGCGGGACACGUGGUAUCCUGUCUGAAUAUGGGGGGACCAUCCUCCAAGGCUAAAUACUCCUGACUGACCGAUAGUGAACCAGUACCGUGAGGGAAAGGCGAAAAGAACCCCGGCGAGGGGAGUGAAAAAGAACCUGAAACCGUGUACGUACAAGCAGUGGGAGCACAGAGCAAUCUGUGUGACUGCGUACCUUUUGUAUAAUGGGUCAGCGACUUAUAUUCUGUAGCAAGGUUAACCGAAUAGGGGAGCCGAAGGGAAACCGAGUCUUAACUGGGCGUUAAGUUGCAGGGUAUAGACCCGAAACCCGGUGAUCUAGCCAUGGGCAGGUUGAAGGUUGGGUAACACUAACUGGAGGACCGAACCGACUAAUGUUGAAAAAUUAGCGGAUGACUUGUGGCUGGGGGUGAAAGGCCAAUCAAACCGGGAGAUAGCUGGUUCUCCCCGAAAGCUAUUUAGGUAGCGCCUCGUGAAUUCAUCUCCGGGGGUAGAGCACUGUUUCGGCAAGGGGGUCAUCCCGACUUACCAACCCGAUGCAAACUGCGAAUACCGGAGAAUGUUAUCACGGGAGACACACGGCGGGUGCUAACGUCCGUCGUGAAGAGGGAAACAACCCAGACCGCCAGCUAAGGUCCCAAAGUCAUGGUUAAGUGGGAAACGAUGUGGGAAGGCCCAGACAGCCAGGAUGUUGGCUUAGAAGCAGCCAUCAUUUAAAGAAAGCGUAAUAGCUCACUGGUCGAGUCGGCCUGCGCGGAAGAUGUAACGGGGCUAAACCAUGCACCGAAGCUGCGGCAGCGACGCUGAUGCGUUGUUGGGUAGGGGAGCGUUCUGUAAGCCUGUGAAGGUGUGCUGUGAGGCAUGCUGGAGGUAUCAGAAGUGCGAAUGCUGACAUAAGUAACGAUAAAGCGGGUGAAAAGCCCGCUCGCCGGAAGACCAAGGGUUCCUGUCCAACGUUAAUCGGGGCAGGGUGAGUCGACCCCUAAGGCGAGGCCGAAAGGCGUAGUCGAUGGGAAACAGGUUAAUAUUCCUGUACUUGGUGUUACUGCGAAGGGGGGACGGAGAAGGCUAUGUUGGCCGGGCGACGGUUGUCCCGGUUUAAGCGUGUAGGCUGGUUUUCCAGGCAAAUCCGGAAAACUAAGGCUGAGGCGUGAUGACGAGGCACUACGGUGCUGAAGCAACAAAUGCCCUGCUUCCAGGAAAAGCCUCUAAGCAUCAGGUAACAUCAAAUCGUACCCCAAACCGACACAGGUGGUCAGGUAGAGAAUACCAAGGCGCUUGAGAGAACUCGGGUGAAGGAACUAGGCAAAAUGGUGCCGUAACUUCGGGAGAAGGCACGCUGAUAUGUAGGUGAAGUCCCUCGCGGAUGGAGCUGAAAUCAGUCGAAGAUACCAGCUGGCUGCAACUGUUUAUUAAAAACACAGCACUGUGCAAACACGAAAGUGGACGUAUACGGUGUGACGCCUGCCCGGUGCCGGAAGGUUAAUUGAUGGGGUCAGCGCAAGCGAAGCUCUUGAUCGAAGCCCCGGUAAACGGCGGCCGUAACUAUAACGGUCCUAAGGUAGCGAAAUUCCUUGUCGGGUAAGUUCCGACCUGCACGAAUGGCGUAAUGAUGGCCAGGCUGUCUCCACCCGAGACUCAGUGAAAUUGAACUCGCUGUGAAGAUGCAGUGUACCCGCGGCAAGACGGAAAGACCCCGUGAACCUUUACUAUAGCUUGACACUGAACAUUGAGCCUUGAUGUGUAGGAUAGGUGGGAGGCUUUGAAGUGUGGACGCCAGUCUGCAUGGAGCCGACCUUGAAAUACCACCCUUUAAUGUUUGAUGUUCUAACGUUGACCCGUAAUCCGGGUUGCGGACAGUGUCUGGUGGGUAGUUUGACUGGGGCGGUCUCCUCCUAAAGAGUAACGGAGGAGCACGAAGGUUGGCUAAUCCUGGUCGGACAUCAGGAGGUUAGUGCAAUGGCAUAAGCCAGCUUGACUGCGAGCGUGACGGCGCGAGCAGGUGCGAAAGCAGGUCAUAGUGAUCCGGUGGUUCUGAAUGGAAGGGCCAUCGCUCAACGGAUAAAAGGUACUCCGGGGAUAACAGGCUGAUACCGCCCAAGAGUUCAUAUCGACGGCGGUGUUUGGCACCUCGAUGUCGGCUCAUCACAUCCUGGGGCUGAAGUAGGUCCCAAGGGUAUGGCUGUUCGCCAUUUAAAGUGGUACGCGAGCUGGGUUUAGAACGUCGUGAGACAGUUCGGUCCCUAUCUGCCGUGGGCGCUGGAGAACUGAGGGGGGCUGCUCCUAGUACGAGAGGACCGGAGUGGACGCAUCACUGGUGUUCGGGUUGUCAUGCCAAUGGCACUGCCCGGUAGCUAAAUGCGGAAGAGAUAAGUGCUGAAAGCAUCUAAGCACGAAACUUGCCCCGAGAUGAGUUCUCCCUGACUCCUUGAGAGUCCUGAAGGAACGUUGAAGACGACGACGUUGAUAGGCCGGGGGUGUAAGCGCAGCGAUGCGUUGAGCUAACCGGUACUAA